GGUCUGGUUAUACAGUCUAGUUUUAUUGUAAUAGUGCUUCAUUCCAAUUUAUAGGUUGUUAUUUAUUAGAUUUGCUGUUAAUUGUUUAAAUUUUGAUAUCAUACUCCUUGUUUUUUAAGUAUUAUUGAAAGAACAUAUCAAAGAAGAGUGCAAACAUAUCAGACUAGAGGGUUUUACUUUAAAAUAUAUACAUAUAUAGGGUUGUUUUUGACUUCAAAUUUUUGUACAUGUAAUACAUUCCAUGACUCGUACAGUAUGAUGAUAUAAAGCUGUUCAUAAUUUUUAAUGUGAAAUUUGUAAACUCUAGAUUUAUUAAUGUUUUGUAUAGAUGUUUUUGAUAUACAAAAUUAUAUCUUUACAAUAGAAUUUUUAAUUCGUAACAUACAAACUAAGGGUCUUUGUUGAUGGAUUGAUUGUAGUUUGUUUAACUUACAUGUAUUAUUGUUUCUUUGAAUGUCAGCUUGCCAUCAUGCACAACGUAAUUGUUUACCAUAUCAAUGUGUAGGCCAUGACUCCAAUUCACCAUUUCAAACCAUUUGUAUUUUUAUAACAAAUAAUUAUAUAUUCUAUUUUUG
rnacentral:misc_RNA from 1 species